rnacentral:sRNA from 1 species
AAAAAGAGCUUUCUUCAUUGUAUUAGCCCUGGGAUCUGUUUUUAGGGAUAAAUUAAACACCACAGCAUUGAUCUUGUGACUGUGUACACCUGGCCCAAAGAUGGACCGAUCAUGUCCUGAACGUUGUUUAGAGAAAGAUGGGCACAGUGUGCCUUACUGUCGGCACCUGGCGGCUGAUGGACCUGGAGCCAUGGACUCUGCUUCUGCUUACCCCUCCGUUCACAGCCUCCUUACUCUCCCCAGGCUCUGCUCUUCUACACCAACGCCCUGGCAGAGAACGACGCAAGGCUCCAGCAGGCUGCGUGCCUAGCGCUCAAACACCUCAAGGGCAUUGAAAGCAUCGACCAGAUUGCCAGCCUGUGCCAGUCUGACCUGGAGGCCGUGCGGGCGGCAGCCCGGGAAACCACACUGUCGUUCGGUGAAAAAGGACGGUUAGCUUUUGAGAAGAUGGACAAGCUCUGCUCAGAACAAAGAGAAGUCUUUUGCCAGGAGGCAGAUGUUGAAAUCACAAUAUUUUAAAAAAUCCUGGCUGAUGAGCACAAAUCUCACAUCGGUUUUUUUUGCUGCUGCCUGGCCUGGACAUAGCCUGCACUCUGGGUAAUGGUGCUGUGCACUCCUCCAGGAGUGUGAGCCGCCCAGAGCUCUACCUGAGGCUCCGGCCACUGACCCAGCCCCAGGGCAUGGGCUGGUCUUUUGUACAGAAGCAGAAAAAAGCAAGGCAAAGGUACAGCAUUCCAGGGGCUGCACGGCCUCAACGGAGCGCUCGACUUCUGGCUGAGGGUCUGUGUGACCUUCCCCGAGAUGCAGAGCUGAGCCACACUAGGUGGCCACCUACAAAAGGGCCAAGGUCAGGCAAGUUGAGGCCCUAAAUAAAAGGCUCCAAGACAAGUGUGUAGAACUCCAGGCCUCGCUGCCGGUCAGCUGCUCGGCACUUCUGCGUCAAUAGGCACUGGGAUGCAGCAGGCUGGCAGGUGGCUGGCCCUGCUAAUGCAAGACUGCUCAGGCCAUUUCAGCAGCAGCCAGGUGUCACCUUGGUGAGCUGGAGAAGGUGGGAAGGCACAAAGCCAGGGUUUCUACAACCACACU